GACGAACGCUGGCGGCGCGCUUAACACAUGCAAGUCGAGCGAGAACCAGGGCUGCGGCCCUGGGGACAGCGGCGAACGUGUGAGCAACACGUGAGUAACCUGCCCUCGGCACCGGAAUAGCCCGGAGAAACACGGAUUAAUGCCGGAUAGCCACUCUGCCCUUCGGGGAGGCGGCGAGUGGUAGCUGCGGCCUCCGGCCGAGGAUGGGCUCGCGGCGGAUUAGCUUGUUGGCGGGGUAACGGGCCACGAAGGCGUCGACGGGUAGCCGGGCUGGGAAGGUGACCGGCCACACUGGGACUGAGAAACGGCCCAGACUCCUACGGGAGGCAGCAGUGGGGAAUAUUGCACAAUGGGCGCAAGCCUGAUGCAGCAACGCCGCGUGCGGGAUGACGGCCUUCGGGUUGUAAACCGCUUUUAGUAGGGAAGAAGCCUUCGGGUGACGGUACCUGCAGAAAAAGGACCGGCUAACUACGUGCCAGCCGCCGCAGUAAUAC
rnacentral:rRNA from 1 species